UACAGAGGUCCCAAGCGUUGUUCGGAUUCACUGGGCGUAAAGGGUGCGUAGGCGGUCGGGUAAGUCUGAUGUGAAAUCUCACAGCUUAACUGUGAAACUGCAUUGGAUACUAUUCGGCUUGAGAGUUGGAGGGGGGACUGGAAUUCUUGGUGUAGCAGUGAAAUGCGUAGAUAUCAAGAGGAACACCAGUGGCGAAGGCGGCCAUCUGGAUCAACACUGACGCUGAGGCACGAAAGCGUGGGGAGCAAACAGG
rnacentral:rRNA from 1 species